UACGGGGGGAGCAAGCGUUGUUCGGAUUUACUGGGCGUAAAGGGCGCGUAGGCGGCGUGACAAGUCACUUGUGAAAUCUCCGGGCUUAACUCGGAACGGUCAAGUGAUACUGUCGUGCUAGAGUACAGAAGGGGCAACUGGAAUUCUCGGUGUAGCGGUGAAAUGCGUAGAUAUCGAGAGGAACACCUGGCGGCGAAGGCGGGUUGCUGGGCUGAUACUGACGCUGAGGCGCGAAAGCCAGGGGAGCGAACGGG
rnacentral:rRNA from 1 species